rnacentral:rRNA from 1 species
GACGAACGCUGGCGGCGUGCUUAACACAUGCAAGUCGAACGGAAAGGCCCUGCUUUUGUGGGGUGCUCGAGUGGCAAACGGGUGAGUAACACGUGAGUAACCUGCCCUUGACUUUGGGAUAACUUCAGGAAACUGGGGCUAAUACCGGAUAGGAGCUCCUGCUGCAUGGUGGGGGUUGGAAAGUUUCGGCGGUUGGGGAUGGACUCGCGGCUUAUCAGCUUGUUGGUGGGGUAGUGGCUUACCAAGGCUUUGACGGGUAGCCGGCCUGAGUGGGUGACCGGCCAAAUUGGGACUGAGAUACGGCCCAGACUCCUACGGGAGGAAGCAGUGGGGAAUAUUGCACAAUGGGCGGAAGCCUGAUGCAGCAACGCCGCGUGCGGGAUGACGGCCUUCGGGUGGUAAACCGCUUUCGCCUGUGACGAAGCGUGAGUGACGGUAAUGGGUAAAGAAGCACCGGCUAACUACGUG